rnacentral:rRNA from 1 species
UAAAUUGAGAGUUUGAUCCUGGCUCAGGAUGAACGCUGGCGGCGUGCCUAAUACAUGCAAGUCGAACGAAACUUCUUUAUCACCGAGUGCUUGCACUCACCGAUAAAGAGUUGAGUGGCGAACGGGUGAGUAACACGUGGGCAACCUGCCCAAAAGAGGGGGAUAACACUUGGAAACAGGUGCUAAUACCGCAUAACCAUAGUUACCGCAUGGUAACUAUGUAAAAGGUGGCUAUGCUACCACUUUUGGAUGGGCCCGCGGCGCAUUAGCUAGUUGGUGAGGUAAAGGCUUACCAAGGCAAUGAUGCGUAGCCGAACUGAGAGGUUGAUCGGCCACAUUGGGACUGAGACACGGCCCAAACUCCUACGGGAGGCAGCAGUAGGGAAUCUUCCACAAUGGGCGAAAGCCUGAUGGAGCAACGCCGCGUGGGUGAAGAAGGUCUUCGGAUCGUAAAACCCUGUUGUUAGAGAAGAAAGUGCGUGAGAGUAACUGUUCACGUUUCGACGGUAUCUAACCAGAAAGCCACGGCUAACUACGUGCCAGCAGCCGCGGUAAUACGUAGGUGGCAAGCGUUAUCCGGAUUUAUUGGGCGUAAAGGGAACGCAGGCGGUCUUUUAAGUCUGAUGUGAAAGCCUUCGGCUUAACCGGAGUAGUGCAUUGGAAACUGGGAGACUUGAGUGCAGAAGAGGAGAGUGGAACUCCAUGUGUAGCGGUGAAAUGCGUAGAUAUAUGGAAGAACACCAGUGGCGAAAGCGGCUCUCUGGUCUGUAACUGACGCUGAGGUUCGAAAGCGUGGGUAGCAAACAGGAUUAGAUACCCUGGUAGUCCACGCCGUAAACGAUGAAUGCUAAGUGUUGGAGGGUUUCCGCCCUUCAGUGCUGCAGCUAACGCAAUAAGCAUUCCGCCUGGGGAGUACGACCGCAAGGUUGAAACUCAAAGGAAUUGACGGGGGCCCGCACAAGCGGUGGAGCAUGUGGUUUAAUUCGAAGCAACGCGAAGAACCUUACCAGGUCUUGACAUCUUCUGACAAUCCUAGAGAUAGGACUUUCCCUUCGGGGACAGAAUGACAGGUGGUGCAUGGUUGUCGUCAGCUCGUGUCGUGAGAUGUUGGGUUAAGUCCCGCAACGAGCGCAACCCUUAUUGUUAGUUGCCAGCAUUAAGUUGGGCACUCUAGCAAGACUGCCGGUGACAAACCGGAGGAAGGUGGGGAUGACGUCAAAUCAUCAUGCCCCUUAUGACCUGGGCUACACACGUGCUACAAUGGACGGUACAACGAGUCGCAAGACCGCGAGGUUUAGCAAAUCUCUUAAAGCCGUUCUCAGUUCGGAUUGUAGGCUGCAACUCGCCUACAUGAAGUCGGAAUCGCUAGUAAUCGCGGAUCAGCAUGCCGCGGUGAAUACGUUCCCGGGCCUUGUACACACCGCCCGUCACACCAUGAGAGUUUGUAACACCCAAAGCCGGUGGGGUAACCUUUUGGAACCAGCCGUCUAAGGUGGGACAGAUGAUUGGGGUGAAGUCGUAACAAGGUAGCCGUAGGAGAACCUGCGGCUGGAUCACCUCCUUUCUAAGGA